ACUCAAUAGAUACCCCGGUAGUCCGCGCCCUAAACGAUGUCUACUAGUUGUUGGUGGAGUAAAAUCCAUGAGUAAACGCAGCUAAACGCGUGAAGUAGACCGCCUGGGGAGUACGGUCGCAAGAUUAAAACUCAAAGGAAUUGACGGGGGCCCGGCACAAGCGGUGGAUUAUGUGGAUUAAAUUCGAUGCAACGCGAAAAACCUUAACCUGGCCUUGACAUGCCACUAACGAAGCAGAGAUGCAUUAGGUGCCCGUAAGGGAAAGUGGACACAGGUGCUGCAUGGCUGUCGUCAGCUCGUGUCGUGAGAUGUUGGGUUAAAGUCCCGCAACGAGCGCAACCCUUGCCAUUAAUUGCCAUCAUUUAGUUGGGCACUUUAAUGGGACUGCCGGUGACAAACCGGAGGAAGGUGGGGAUGACGUCAAGUCCUCAUGGCCCUUAU
rnacentral:rRNA from 1 species